ACUGAUUGACGAGUCCGAAAUAGGACGAAAUGAGCAUCCUGAAU
rnacentral:hammerhead_ribozyme from 1 species